rnacentral:tRNA from 1 species
GCUGGGGUUGCUCAGAGGUAGAGUGCUCACCUAGCAUGUGUGAGGCCCUAGGCUCAAUCCUUAGCACCAUAU